GAAAGAGGCCAGCCAAUUAUACUGUACGCUAGCAAUACCGUAGCAUCGAUUAACAGAGUGCAGGGUAUCGAUUGACAGCAUUCCUUUUACCCGAGUUGGGCUCCAUCCCUCUCAUCAGUCGAAUGUGUUUGUUAUCAAUAUUCGGCGAAUACAUAACGUACAGGCACAUCAAACAAAACCCAGCCAUCGUGAAUUUAUUAAUAUUAAUAAUUUUAGAGAAUUAUGUAGAACUUAAUCUUACUCUACACGCGCACAGAUCAUGGACAAUUUUGUAUUUUCUCAGAUUCACAAGUCUCCCCUAGUAACAGGUGUCUACAGUCAAUUUGCAGUCGACAUUGUGGAAGAGGAAGACGGAAAAAUAUAUCGAGGGUAUGUUUGUGGAAUGGAAAAUGAGCAAUGUUGGCUGCGCAUCGGCACUAUGCAGCAACUAAGGCUGAUCUCUAUAGACAAGCUGUACAAGGUAGGCCUUUCAAGAAGCAUCCGGCCCGAGGAAUUUGGGGAUGAAGUCGAUCUCCUUGUCAGUAUUGGCGAGAAUGAACCUGAAUCAUGGCGGCCUGCACGUAUUUUUGAUGGGUUUUGGUGUGAAGCCUUUAGUCUGUUAAAUGUGGAUGUUACCAUGCCAAAUAACGCCGUUACUCGGUACUCCGUUUUGGACGGCAAUGGUUCCGUUUGGAAGCGCAUUCGUCGCCAGGGACAACUCGGACCGCCCGUUACAACGCAGACCUUUCGCCACGUGCUAAUCCCUUUCUCCAUGUUCACGCACGUUAUCCCCAACAUCACAGACACGCUCGAUCGCGUUCAGAAAAUGCAUCAAUUUCGUAGUCAUUUCUUGUAUAGCAGUGCUUACAAGCAAAUCAUGUUUCUCGGGGUGGUGAAUGCGUGUAUUGCCGUGUUAGUUGCGAAAGGUCCUGGUAGAGGCCCUACUGAUGAGGACAUUUUGGAGCACUCGAUCUCUGCUAUUAUCCAGUUUACUACAAUUGUUACCACGAGCAACCCAAAAAAUGUACUCCGAAUUGCCGAAGAAAUGUUAGACGUGAUUGCGGCAACGGAAGAUAAAUUUUCCACUACUGUACAAGCCGGCCCGGAUGAUGAGCGCGAUUAAAUACAGCGGAAAAUGUAACUUCGUGGGCUACGCCAAAUUACAGAAUCCGGCGCGCGACGCCACAAUGUUUACGCUUUACAUGCGUUUGGCAUGACUUGGAGGAUCCUAGUGAAUUGCGCUUUGAUGAUCUUUACGUAAAUUUGCGCAUCGUGGUGCUGUCCUUUUUGGACGUGUUUACUCAACAUCAACUGCGCAGGACGUGUAAGUGGUUCAAUCACUUACUUUGCUGUGAUACCAUUCAGCAGAGCCUAUGUUUACCACUGAAUUCUACGAAUGUGCUCAAAACUCUACAACUGUAUUCAGUGCAGCAAUUGGACGAACACCAAACGACUGUAACUCACGUACUGUGCACUACUGUAACGAAAAAAGUCAGAUUUGUUCAUCUCAUUGGUAACUGGAAAAAAUGCCUGCACACAGUGGUACUGCUGUUGCGAUUUCUGCGUGUGGAACUCCAUUGGCUAAUCAUCGCUGAAAAUUCCGCACUAAUGUUUAACGAGUUCUUUGAUUUUCCGAACCGAUGGCCGAUGCUGCACACCAAUGACAACUUCAUAACGUUUCAGGGAACAUAUCGGCGGGCGCCUGAUUAUGCCGCAGUCUGCCAUAACAUUCUAUUUCAAAGAUGCCGCUUUGACAGCCAACCAUCCAUAUGUUUCAAAUCGAUAUCUUUUUUGAACGAUUACAAUGGAAUAAGCUAUGCGAGCCCGGCCGCACGUUCCUGUCUGGCUUGCUGUCAGAAGCCAUUCCGUGUUAAACUUCCUUAUUGGCAUUACAACUUUGCGAAAUCAACUACGUGUACAUUGUCAGCAUCCUUGCGAGCAGCGCUGGAACAGUUCUGUCCCGAUCUUCCGGACAGUGAUGCCACUUCCCUCUUGAACUGGAUGAGUUCUCUAACAGCAGAUGAUCUAAGAAGGGAAUCAUGUAUUUGGCCCUUCAUUUCGUUGUGCUAUGAACUAUGGAGCAAAGAAACGCCCAAGCUGCUGGACGACGUCAAGAAAGAUGUCUCCACAAGGUUUCCUACCAAGUGCCUGCUCAUGCAAACUCUGGCCUUAUUGGUGCCCGGCUAGGCACAUUCUGUGCAAAAAAAAUUACUGUACUGUGGUGUCAGUAAUGUUAUACCUCAUUUCUUACUUUGCCAGGCAUUUUCUUAUCAUCCUGUAACUUCAGAAUCAAUCAAAAUCAUUUCUUCAAGCAAGAAAAUCUAAAUAAAUGUUUACUGUAAAUCGACGUUGGCCGCCAAAAAAGAU